rnacentral:rRNA from 1 species
GCCAGACUCCUACGGGAGGCAGCAGUGGGGAAUAUUGCACAAUGGGGGAAACCCUGAUGCAGCGAUGCCGCGUGGAUGAAGAAGGUUUUCGGAUUGUAAACUCCUUUUAUCAGGGACGAUAAUGACGGUACCUGAAGAAAAAGCAUCUGCUAACUCCGUGCCAGCAGCCGCGGUAAUACGGAGGAUGCGAGCGUUAUCCGGAUUUAUUGGGUUUAAAGGGUGCGUAGGCGGGCUUUUAAGUCAGCGGUAAAAAUUCGGGGCUCAACCCCGUCCGGCCGUUGAAACUGGGGGCCUUGAGUGGGCGAGAAGAAGGCGGAAUGCGUGGUGUAGCGGUGAAAUGCAUAGAUAUCACGCAGAACCCCGAUUGCGAAGGCAGCCUUCCGGCGCCCUACUGACGCUGAGGCACGAAAGUGCGGGGAUCGAACAGGAUUAGAUACCCUAGUA